rnacentral:rRNA from 1 species
CCUACGGGGGGCUGCAGUCGAGAAUCUUCGGCAAUGGGCGCAAGCCUGACCGAGCGACGCCGCGUGCGGGAUGAAGGCUUUCGGGUUGUAAACCGCUGUCAGUGGGAAGGAAAUACCGGUGAGUUAUCUCAUCGGCUUGACUGACCCGCAGAGGAAGUGUGGGCUAAGUUCGUGCCAGCAGCCGCGGUAAGACGAACCACACAAACGUUAUUCGGAAUCACUGGGCUUACAGGGUGCGUAGGCUGUGCAGCAAGUGGGGUGUGAAAUCCUACGGCUUAACCGUAGAACUGCGCUCCAAACUGCUGUGCUUGAGGGAGAUAGAGGUGAGCGGAACUUACGGUGGAGCGGUGAAAUGCGUUGAUAUCGUAAGGAACACCGGUGGCGAAAGCGGCUCACUGGAUCUCUUCUGACGCUGAGGCACGAAAGCUAGGGGAGCGAACGGGAUUAGAUACCCCAGUAGUC